GACAGAGUAGUGUAAUGGUUAGAGUGUGUUGGACUAUGACUCUGGAAACCAGGGUUCGAGUCCCUGCUCAGACA